rnacentral:misc_RNA from 1 species
GAGGCAAUGGCUGAGUGGUGCUGAUGGUGGUGGCUAAGUGGUGUUUAUGACAGCGGUGGUCAGGUGGUGAUUGAGAUGGUGGUAGCAUAGUAGUGGUAAGGUGGUGAUGGUACUAUUGAUGGUAGUGGCCAAGUGGUGAUGAUGGUGGCAGCUGUGGCUAAGUGGUGGUAGGGUGGCAAUAGUGGUUGUGGUGACAAUGGUGGUCAAGUGCUAGUAGUGGAAGCAGGGAAUGGGUGUGGGUGGUAGUGGAAAUGGCCGAAUGAUGGUGGUGACG